UAGGGAAUCUUCGGCAAUGGGGGGAACCCUGACCGAGCAACGCCGCGUGAGUGAAGAAGGUUUUCGGAUCGUAAAGCUCUGUUGUUAAGGAAGAACGAGUGUGAGAAUGGAAAGUUCAUACUGUGACGGUACUUAACCAGAAAGGGACGGCUAACUACGUGCCAGCAGCCGCGGUAAUACGUAGGUGGCAAGCGUUGUCCGGAUUUAUUGGGCGUAAAGCGAGCGCAGGCGGUCAAUUAAGUCUGAUGUGAAAGCCCCCGGCUCAACCGGGGAGGGUCAUUGGAAACUGGUGGACUUGAGUGCAGAAGAGGAGAGUGGAAUUCCAUGUGUAGCGGUGAAAUGCGUAGUUAUAUGGAGGAACACCAGUGGCGAAGGCGACUCUCUGGUCUGUAACUGACGCUGAGGCUCGAAAGCGUGGGUAGCAAACAGG
rnacentral:rRNA from 1 species